CCUACGGGAGGCAGCAGUGAGGAAUAUUGGUCAAUGGGCGCGAGCCUGAACCAGCCAAGUAGCGUGAAGGAUGACUGCCCUACGGGUUGUAAACUUCUUUUAUAAAGGAAUAAAGUGCGGCACGUGUGCCUUUUUGUAUGUACUUUAUGAAUAAGGAUCGGCUAACUCCGUGCCAGCAGCCGCGGUAAUACGGAGGCUCCGAGCGUUAUCCGGAUUUCUUGGGUUUAAAGGGAGCGUAGAUGGGUUGUUAAGUCAGUUGUGAAAGUUUGCGGCUCAACCGUAAAAUUGCAAUUGAUACUGGCAGUCUUGAGUACAGGAGAGGUAGGCGGAAUGCGUGGUGUAGCGGUGAAAUGCUUAGAUAUCACGAAGAACUCCGAUGGCGAAGGCAGCUUACUAGACUGCCACUGACAUUGAGGCUCGAAAGUGUGGGUAUCAAACAGGAUUAGAUACCCCGGUAGUC
rnacentral:rRNA from 1 species